rnacentral:rRNA from 1 species
CCUACGGGGGGCAGCAGUGGGGAAUAUUGGACAAUGGGCGCAAGCCUGAUCCAGCCAUGCCGCGUGAGUGAAGAAGGCCUUAGGGUUGUAAAGCUCUUUCAGCGGGGACGAUAAUGACGGUACCCGCAGAAGAAGCCCCGGCUAACUUCGUGCCAGCAGCCGCGGUAAUACGAAGGGGGCUAGCGUUGUUCGGAAUUACUGGGCGUAAAGCGCGCGUAGGCGGGUCGUUAAGUCAGGGGUGAAAUGCCGGGGCUCAACCUCGGAACUGCCUUUGAUACUGACGACCUGGAGUUCGGGAGAGGUGAGUGGAAUUCCGAGUGUAGAGGUGAAAUUCGUAGAUAUUCGGAGGAACACCAGAAGCGAAGGCGGCUCACUGGCCCGAUACUGACGCUGAGGCGCGAAAGCGUGGGGAGCAAACAGGAUUAGAUACCCUGGUAGUC